rnacentral:rRNA from 1 species
UAAAUAACUUUACAUUUGUUUUUGCGACAAAAAAAUAGAAUCAUUACAUCAUUCUAAUUUACUUAAUAUCAAAACUUUCAACAACGGAUCUCUUGGUUCUCGCAUCGAUGAAGAACGCAGCGAAUUGCGAUACGUAGUAUGACUUGCAGACGUGAAUCAUCGAAUCUUUGAACGCACAUUGCGCCUCGAGGCAUUCCUCGAGGCAUGCCUGUUUGAGCGUCGCAUCCCCUCUAACCCCCGGUUAGGCGUUGCUCCGAAAUAUCAACCGCGCUGUCAAACACGUUUACAGCACGACAUUUCGCCCUCAAAUCAGGUAGGACUACCCGCUGAACUUAAGCAUAUCAAUAAGCGGAGGAA